rnacentral:rRNA from 1 species
UGCCAGCAGUCGCGGUUAAACCAGGGGAUUAAGUUGUAUUCUACGGUGAAAAGACAGUUAAACAAUGCAGCAUGUUAAAUUCAUUGCUCUAUCAGGAGGUAGAAUUCGAAGAUAGGCAAGUAUACUUAAUAGAACUAGCGCGUUGAAGCUGUGACAACUUUGAGGGAAACUAGGAUUAGAUACCCUACUAUUCAUAGAAGUAAACUAAAAAAUUUUACCAGAGUACUAAGAAUAAAAAAUUUAAAACUCAAAGGGCUUGGCGGUGUUUUAGACUACUUAGGGGAACCUGUCUCGUAAUCGACAAUCCGCGUUAUACCUAACCUUUUUUUGCAUUCAGUUUGUAUACCGUCGUCGCCAGGUAACUUUUAAGAUAUAAACAGUUAGCUAGCUAAAUAUUUAAAUUAAGACGUCAGAUCAAGGUGCAGCUAACAAUAAGGUGUAGAUGGGUUACAAUUACCACAUUUGUAAUAACGGACAACGACUUUAAAAGUACAUUGGAAGGAGGACUUAAAAGUAAAAUAGACUAUAUAAAUAUCUUGAAUAAAGCUCUGAAACGUGCACACAUCGCCCGUCACUCU